CCUAGGGGGGCUGCAGUGAGGAAUAUUGGUCAAUGGGCUUACGCCUGAACCAGCCAAGUCGCGUGAGGGAAGACUGCCCUAUGGGUUGUAAACCUCUUUUGUCAGGGAGCAAUUGGCGCUACGUGUAGCGUUAUCGAGAGUACCCGAAGAAAAAGCAUCGGCUAACUCCGUGCCAGCAGCCGCGGUAAUACGGGGGCUGCGAGUGUUGUCCGGAUUUAUGGGGUUAAAAGGGUGCGUGGGCGGAAGGUUAAGUCAGCGGUCAAAUGUCGGUGCUCAACACCGGCCUGCCGUUGAAACUGGUCGUCUUGAGUGAGCGAGAAGUAUGCGGAAUGCGUGGUGUAGCGGUGAAAUGCAUAGAUAUCACGCAGAACUCCGGUUGCGAAGGCAGCAUACCGGCGCUCAACUGACGCUGAGGCACGAAAGCGUGGGGAUCGAACAGGAUUAGAUACCCUUGUAGUC
rnacentral:rRNA from 1 species